rnacentral:rRNA from 1 species
UUACCUACGGGGGGCAGCAGUGAGGAAUAUUGGUCAAUGGGCGCGAGCCUGAACCAGCCAAGUAGCGUGAAGGAUGACUGCCCUACGGGUUGUAAACUUCUUUUAUAAAGGAAUAAAGUGAGGCACGUGUGCCUUUUUGUAUGUACUUUAUGAAUAAGGAUCGGCUAACUACGUGCCAGCAGCCGCGGUCAUACGUAGGAUCCGAGCAUUAUCCGGAGUGACUGGGUGUAAAGAGUUGCGUAGGUGGCAUAGUAAGUAGCUAGUGAAAUCUGGUGGCUCAACCAUUCAGACUAUUAGCUAAACUG